CUUCCUUCGAGCGGGGACAACGUUCCGAAAGGGACGCUAAUACCGCAUAAGUUCUCCGGGACUCUGGUCCUGGAGAGGAAAGCUAGGUAGCAAUAUCCGGCACUCGAUGAGGAGCCUACGUCGCAUCAGCUAGUUGGUGGGGUAAUGGCCUACCAAGGCGAAGACGCGUAGCUGGUCUGAGAGGAUGAUCAGCCACACUGGGACUGAGACACGGCCCAG
rnacentral:rRNA from 1 species